UUGACCUCGGAUCAGGUAGGACUACCCGCUGAACUUAAGCAUAUCAAUAAGCGGAGGAAAAGAAACCAACAGGGAUUGCCCCAGUAACGGCGAGUGAAGCGGCAACAGCUCAGAUUUGGAAUCUGGCCCCUAGGGCCCGAGUUGUAAUCUGGAGAGGAUGUUUCUGGCGCGGCGCCUUCCGAGUUCCCUGGAACGGGACGCCGGAGAGGGUGAGAGCCCCGUACGGUUGGACGCCUAGCCUUUGUGAAACUCCUUCGACGAGUCGAGUAGUUUGGGAAUGCUGCUCAAAAUGGGAGGUAAAUUUCUUCUAAAGCUAAAUACCGGCCAGAGACCGAUAGCGCACAAGUAGAGUGAUCGAAAGAUGAAAAGCACUUUGAAAAGAGGGUCAAACAGUACGUGAAAUUGUUGAAAGGGAAGCGCCCGUGGCCAGACUUGUACCCCGCGGACCAUCCGGCGCCCUCAGCGCCGGUGCACUCCGUGGGGCGCAGGCCAGCAUCGGUUUUCCUAGGGGGAUAAAGGCGGCGGGAACGUAGCUCCCUCGGGAGUGUUAUAGCCCGCCGUGCCAUGCCCCUGGGGGGACCGAGGACCGCGCUUCGGCAAGGAUG
rnacentral:rRNA from 2 species